CUGCAACUCGACCUCAUGAAGCUGGAAUCGCUAGUAAUCCCGGAUCAGCCAUGCCGGGGUGAAUACGUUCUCGGGUCUUGUACUCACCGCCCGUCACACCAAGAGAGCCGAUAAUACCCGAAGGCCCAGCUCGACUGGUACGAAGGUAGGAUCGGUAAUAAGGGUGAAGUCGUAACAAGGCAUCCGUAGCGGAAGCUGUGGAUGGAUCACCUCCUUUCUAGGGAGUUAG
rnacentral:rRNA from 1 species